UACGGAGGGCGCAAGCGUUGUUCGGAAUCACUGGGCGUAAAGCGCGUGUAGGCGGCUUGGCAAGUCGGGUGUGAAAUCCCGAGGCUCAACCUCGGAACUGCACUCGAAACUGCUUGGCUCGAGUCCCGGAGAGGGUGGCGGAAUUCCCGGUGUAGGGGUGAAAUCCGUAGAUAUCGGGAGGAACACCAGUGGCGAAGGCGGCCUGCUGGACGGUGACUGACGCUGAGACGCGAAAGCGUGGGGAGCAAACAGG
rnacentral:rRNA from 1 species